CACGUAGGGGGGCGAGCGUUUGUCCGGAUUUAUUGGGCGUAAAGAGCUCGUAGGCGGCUCAGUAAGUCGGGUGUGAAAAACUCCAGGCUCAACCUGGAGACGCCACCUGAUACUGCUGUGGCUAGAGUCCGGUAGGGGAGAAUGGAAUUCCUGGUGUAGCGGUGAAAUGCGCAGAUAUCAGGAAGAACACCCGUGGCGAAGGCGGCUCUCUGGGACGGUACUGACGCUGAGACGCGAAAGCGUGGGGAGCGAACAGG
rnacentral:rRNA from 1 species